AGUUCGAUCAUGGCUCAGAUUGAACGCUGGCGGGAUGCUUUACACAUACAAGUCGAACGGCAGCACGGACUUCGGUCUGGUGGCAGUGGCGAACGGGUGAGUAAUGUAUCGGAACGUGCCUAAUGGCAAGGAUAUUUACGCGAAAGCGUAGCUAAUACCGCAUACGCCCUUCGGGGGAAAGCGGGGGACCUUCGGGCCUCGCGCACUAUUAGAGCGGCCGAUAUCGGAUUAGCUAGUUGGGUGGGGGAAUAACGGCUCGCAAGGCGACGAUCCGUAGCUGGUUUGAAGGACGACCAGCCACACUGGGACUGAGACACGGCCCAGACUCCACGGGAGGCAGCAGUGGGGAAUUUUGGACAAUGGAAACCCUGAUCCAGCCAUCCCAUGUGCGAUGAAGGCCUUCGGGUUUGUAAAGCCGCACGGCAGGAAAGAAACGGCACGGGAUAAUACCCCGUGCAACUGACAGUACCUGCAGAAUAAGCACCGGCUAACUACGUGCCAGCAGCCGCGGUAAUACAGCAAGGUCUGGCGACCGUUAUUGUGCGUGUGUGCGUUGUCGGAAUUACUGGGCGUAAAGCGUGCGCAGGCGGUUCGGAAGAAAAGAUGUGAAAUCCCCAGAGCUUAACUUUGGAACUGCAUUUUUAACUACCGAGCUAGAGUGUGUCAGAGGGAGGUGGAAUUCCGCGAUAACAUGAUGAAAUGCGUAGAUAUGCGGAGAGACACCGAUAGCGAAGGCAGCCUCCUGGGAUAACACUGACGCUCAUGCACGAAAAGCGUGGGGAGCAAACAGGAUUAGAUACCCUGUUCAGUCCACGCCUAAACGAUGUCAACUAGCUGUUGGGGCCUUCGGGCCUUGGUAGCGCAGCUAACGCGUGAAGUUGACCGCCUGAGGCCGGUCAUGCUCAAGGAAUUGACGGGGACCCUUUCAGCAGUGGAUGAUCAUGGAUUAAUUCGAUGCAACGCGAAAAACCUUACCUACCCUUGACAUGUCUGGAAUCCCGAAGAGGGUGGGGUGCUCAUAGAGAACCGGAGACACAGGUGCUGUGGCGCAAUGGUAAGCUCGUGUCAGUGAGAUGUUGGGUUAGUCCCGCAACGGCACCUAGCCCUUGUCAUUAGUUUGCUACGAAAGGGCACUCUAUUGAGACUGCCGGUGACAAACCGGAGGAAGGUGGAGGAUGAGCGUCGGUCCUCAUGGCCCUUAUGGGUAGGGCUUCACACGUCAUACAAUGGUCGGGACAGAGGGUCGCCAGCCCCGCGAGGGCCAAUCGAAACUCUGAUCGUAGUCAGGAUCGCCGGUCUGCAACUCGACUGCGUGAAGUCGAAUCGCUAGUAAUCGCGGAUCAACAUGUCGCGGUGAAUACGUUCCAGGUCUUUAUACACGCCGUCACACCCAUGGGAGUGGGUUUUACCAAGUAGUUAGCCUAACCGUAAGGAGGGCGAUUACCACGGUAGGAUUCAUGACUGGGGUGAAGUCGUAACAAGGUAG
rnacentral:rRNA from 1 species